rnacentral:rRNA from 1 species
GAGACAGCAGUAGCCGCGGGAAUACAGAGGUCCCGAGCGUUGUUCGGAUUCAUUGGGCGUAAAGGGUGUGUAGGAGGUUGGGUAAGUCAGGUGUGAAAUCUCUCAGCUUAACUGAGAAACUGCGCUUGAUACUGCUCAGCUAGAGGAUCGGAGGGGGUAACGGAAUUUAUGGUGUAGCAGUGAAAUGCGUAGAUAUCAUAAGGAACACCGGUGGCGAAGGCGGUUACCUGGAAGAUUCCUGACUCUGAAACACGAUAGCCAGGGGAGCAAACGGGAUUAGAUACCCCUGUAGUCCCUGUCUCUUAUAC